rnacentral:lncRNA from 1 species
GCUCCUGCUGGGUUAGGUGGGCUUAUUUCAGAGUACUAGCCAUUUCAUUUAGCUGCUUAAAAGGGGACCUGAGCUCUUCUGACAAUAUAGGUGAUCCCUAUUCAAACAGCACCUUUUUGACUUUCUAGUCUUUUGUAACUCCCCCACUGCAGGGCUCCCUUUUUCUAGGAGCUUUUCUUCCUCAGUUUGCUUUUCUAGGGCUGGCUUUUUACAUGUGGGAGAGCUGCCUAGCAGGUGCUGGUUUAUAACUGACUGUGGUCUCCAUCUCUUCAGCUGGACUUCUCCCUUUGCAAACUCCAACAACAUCAGAGCUGCUCUGCGCACCUUAGUGCAGACAAAGGAUUUGGCUAUUAUUGAGUCUCAUCCCUGUGCUAUGCUUGUGAAGUCAACAGGAUUCCUGCUGUUGGCACCGCUGGGCGCAGCCUGCAGCCUUUCAGAGUGGGAGUUUCAAGGGACCGUGAGAGGGUUGUGCCAGCGGGGUGUGGAAGUCCCUYGAAGCGCUUGGAGAUCCCGGCCUGCCGGUGGAAAACGCGCUGCGGACUUGGUUGCGCACCGAAACCCRCAGCGCUGCACUGACGAGAGGCGUUUCUCAGUCUGCUGCCGGCGAGGCUUUUGGUUGUGCGG